GACGAACGCUGGCGGCGUGCUUAACACAUGCAAGUCGAACGGUGAAGCGCCUUCCUUUUUGGUGGGUGUGGAUGAGUGGCGAACGGGUGAGUAACACGUGAGUAACCUGCCCCCUUCUUCUGGAUAACCGCAUGAAAGUGUGGCUAAUACGGGAUAUUCUGGGUCUGUCGCAUGAUGGGUCUGGGAAAGAUAUUGUUUCGGUGGGGGAUGGGCUCGCGGCCUAUCAGCUUGUUGGGGGGGUGAUGGCCUACCGAGGCGGUGACGGGUAGCCGGCCUGAGAGGGUGGACGGUCACACUGGGACUGAGACACGGCCCAGACUCCUACGGGAGGCAGCAGUGGGGAAUAUUGCACAAUGGGCGCAAGCCUGAUGCAGCGACGCCGCGUGAGGGAUGGAGGCCUUCGGGUUGUGAACCUCUUUCGCCAGUGAAGCAGGCCUGCCUCGUUUGUGGGUGGGUUGACGGUAGCUGGAUAAGAAGCGCCGGCUAACUACGUGC
rnacentral:rRNA from 1 species